rnacentral:rRNA from 1 species
UACAGAGGGUGCAAGCGUUAAUCGGAAUUACUGGGCGUAAAGCGUGCGUAGACGGUUACAUAAGUCGGGUGUGAAAGCCCCGGGCUCAACCUGGGAAUUGCAUUCGAGACUGCGUAGCUAGGGUGCGGAAGAGGGAAGCGGAAUUUCCGGUGUAGCGGUGAAAUGCGUAGAUAUCGGGAGGAACACCAGUGGCGAAGGCGACUACCUGGCCUGUUCUUGACGCUGAGGCGCGAAAGCUAGGGGAGCAAACGGG